GAUGAACGCUGGCGGCGUGCCUAAUACAUGCAAGUCGAGCGAACAGAUGAGGAGCUUGCUCCUCUGACGUUAGCGGCGGACGGGUGAGUAACACGUGGAUAACCUACCUAUAAGACUGGGAUAACUUCGGGAAACCGGAGCUAAUACCGGAUAAUAUAUUGAACCGCAUGGUUCAAUAGUGAAAGACGGCUUUGCUGUCACUUAUAGAUGGAUCCGCGCCGCAUUAGCUAGUUGGUAAGGUAACGGCUUACCAAGGCAACGAUGCGUAGCCGACCUGAGAGGGUGAUCGGCCACACUGGAACUGAGACACGGUCCAGACUCCUACGGGAGGCAGCAGUAGGGAAUCUUCCGCAAUGGGCGAAAGCCUGACGGAGCAACGCCGCGUGAGUGAUGAAGGUCUUCGGAUCGUAAAACUCUGUUAUUAGGGAAGAACAAAUGUGUAAGUAACUAUGCACGUCUUGACGGUACCUAAUCAGAAAGCCCCGGCUAACUACGUG
rnacentral:rRNA from 1 species